rnacentral:rRNA from 2 species
UGGGGAAUCUUGCGCAAUGGGCGAAAGCCUGACGCAGCCAUGCCGCGUGAAUGAUGAAGGUCUUAGGAUUGUAAAAUUCUUUCACCGGGGACGAUAAUGACGGUACCCGGAGAAGAAGCCCCGGCUAACUUCGUGCCAGCAGCCGCGGUAAUACGAAGGGGGCUAGCGUUGCUCGGAAUUACUGGGCGUAAAGGGAGCGUAGGCGGACAUUUAAGUCAGGGGUGAAAUCCCGGGGCUCAACCUCGGAAUUGCCUUUGAUACUGGGUGUCUUGAGUAUGAGAGAGGUAUGUGGAACUCCGAGUGUAGAGGUGAAAUUCGUAGAUAUUCGGAAGAACACCAGUGGCGAAGGCGACAUACUGGCUCAUUACUGACGCUGAGGCUCGAAAGCGUGGGGAGCAAACA